rnacentral:pre_miRNA from 1 species
AAUAAGUUUAUUUUUCAGUUUUUAAAUAUAAUGUCUUGACCUUUUAUUUUAUUUAAAUUUUUUAUGAUUAAUAUUUUUAUUGUUACUAGGUGAUAACAUAUGAAUAGUAUUUUACGCGUGACUAUUUUUUUUAAGUUUUUUUAUAAAUUUUUCAAAUAAGACAAAUAGUCAAAGUGUUAGACAUAGAAAUCGAAAAAUAAAGUUAUC